rnacentral:lncRNA from 1 species
GACGCGCCGGCCGACGGACGACCUUCCACUUGAAACUUCCGGACCCCGAGGGCGGGGUCGUUGAACGGCCGCCAGGUUCUCAACGCCAGUUAGAAAAUAACCCAAGUUGUAAGUUUCCGGCGCUUUACCUGCCGGUAUCCCCUUCCCACCUUGCCUAAUGCUGCUUUUUCAACACCCCAAAAAUAACCUCGUCUGUAAAACUGCUAUGGUAAAACCAUAGAUUUUCCUAAUUAUAGGUGUCACAUUU